rnacentral:rRNA from 1 species
GAUCAUGGCUCAGAUUGAACGCUGGCGGCAUGCUUUACACAUGCAAGUCGGACGGCAGCACAGAGAAGCUUGCUUCUUGGGUGGCGAGUGGCGAACGGGUGAGUAACAUAUCGGAACGUACCGAGCAGUGGGGGAUAACUAAUCGAAAGAUUAGCUAAUACCGCAUAUAUUCUGAGGAAGAAAGCAGGGGGACCAUUUAGCCUUGCGCUGUUUGAGCGGCCGAUAU